rnacentral:rRNA from 1 species
GUGAAAUGCUUAGAUAUCGGGAGGAAUACCAGUGGCGAAGGCGGCUCUCUGGGUCAUUUCUGACGCUCAUGUGCGAAAGCUAGGGUAGAGAACGGGAUUAGAAACCCCGGUAUUCCUAGCCGUAAACGAUGUCAACUAUGUGUAGGAGGUAACCAAUCCUUCUGUACUGUCGCUAACGCAAUAAGUUGACCGCCUGGGGACUACGGCCGCAAGGUUAAAACUCAAAGGAAUUGACGGGGACCCGCACAAGCAGCGGAGCGUGUGGUUUAAUUCGAGGCUACACGAAGAACCUUACCAAGGCUUGACAUACACGUGGUAGCGAUUAGAAAUAUGAACGACCCUUCGGGGAGCGUGUACAGGUGCUGCAUGGCUGUCGUCAGCUCGUGCCGUGAGGUGUCUGGUUAAGUCCAUUAACGAGCGCAACCCUCAUCGUUAGUUACAAGUGUCUAGCGAGACUGCCGGUGAUAAGCCGGAGGAAGGUGGGGAUGAUGUCAAGUCAGCAUGGCCUUUAUGUCUUGGGCUACACACACGCUACAAUGGUCAGUACAAUGGGUCGCGAAGCCGUGAGGCGGAGCCAAUCCUCCAAAGCUGAUCUCAGUUCGGAUUGCAGGCUGCAACUCGCCUGCAUGAAGUCGGAGUUGCUAGUAACCGCGCGUCAGCUAUAGUGCGGUGAAUACGUUCCCGGGCCUUGUACACACCGCCC